GCCGUCGUAGCGCAAUGGUAGCGCGUCGCUUUCCUAUUUAGAGAAAUAACAGGCGAAGGUUGCGAGUUCGAUCCUCGUCGUCGGUA